GCCCGCCCCGCCUCCGCGCGCGGCCCUCCCCGGCUCAGUGCCCGGCGCUGCCGGGAAGCGGGCAGAGGGGCGCACCGGGCGGCGGGCGGGGACCUGGGGAAGGCCGGGAGCGCGGGGACUGAGGACGCACGCGGCGGGCCGGGCGGCGCGCGCCUCCCCCCUCCCCCGAGGCCCGAGCGCGAGUCGCCGUGACGUCACUGGCCACCCGCCAGCCCCGCGCUCCUCCGGGCAGAGCGCGUGUGGCCGCCGAGCACAUGGGCCCGCGGGCCGAGCGGGCUCAGGGAGGCCGGGACGAGGAGGGGCGACGAGGAGCUGCGAGCAAGGAUGUGCCUCGGGACCCCCCCGCACCUUCCCGUGGAUUUCCUUGCGGAAAGGAUGUUGACGGUCCCUGUGACCUGUGGAGACACGGCCAGAUCUGCCCUCCAGCCUGAUCUUUUGGCCAGAAGGAGAUUAAAAAGAUGCCCCUCAAGAUGGCUGUGCCUGUCAGCUGCAUGGAGCUUCGCUCGAGGAUUUUCUGAGCCUGAUGGAUUUACAGUGAUCUUCGGUCGUCUGAGGAAUAACUCUGGUGGAACAAUGCACUGGAAUGACAUACGCCCUGCACAUUUCAGGAUACUAAAAGUGGUUUUAAAGGAGGCCCUGGAUGAAUGCCUCAUGGAUUCUUACAGCUUGGAUGUCCAUGCGGGAGGAAGGACCGCAGCUGGCUGUGAGGACUGA
rnacentral:lncRNA from 1 species